rnacentral:lncRNA from 1 species
GUGGUGGAGAUGCAUAAUUGUAAACUGGUGGUGGAGGUGACUUCACAGGUGGGGGAGGAGAGUGGUAGUAGUAUGGAGGUGGUGGGGAUGGUGAUGGAGGUGGUGGGGAUUUGUAGUAGUACGGUGGUGGAGGCGAGUAGACUGGUGGGGGAGGAGAGUGGUAAUAGUACGGAGGUUGAGGAGAUGGUGACGGAGGUGGUGGGGACUUGUAAUAGUAUGGUGGUGGAGGUGAGUGGACAGGUGGGGGAGGAGAGUGGUAAUAAUAUGGCGGUGGAGGAGAUGGCGACGGAGGUGGUGGGGAUUUGUAGUAGUAGGGCGGGGGAGGAGAGUGGACUGGUGGUGGUGGGGAUUUGUAGUAGUAUGGAGGUGGAGGUGGAGGUGAGUAGACUGGUGGUGGUGGGGAUUUGUAGUAGUAUGGAGGUGGAGGUGAGUGGACUGGUGGUGGCGGGGAUUUGUAGUAGUAGGGUGGAGGAGGAGAGUGGACUGGAGGUGGCGGGGAUUUGUAGUAGUAUGGUGGUGGAGGCGAGUAGACUGGAGGGGGUGGUGACUUGUAGUAGUAAGGUGGCGGAGGUGAGUAAACGGGAGGAGGGGGUGACUUGUAGUAGUAAGGUGGUGGAGGUGAGUAGACUGGUGGUGGAGGUGAUUUGUAAUAGUAUGGGGCAGGUAUGUGGACUGGCGGUGGUGGUGACUUGUAAUAGUAGGGAGGUGGAGGGGAUGGUGAAGGUGGUGGUGGAGACUUGUAGUAGUAUGGCGGUGGGGGUGAAUAGACUGGUGGUGGAGGUGAUUUAUAAUAGUAUGGAGGUGGAGGAGAUGGCGAUGGAGGUGGCGGAGAUUUAUAGUAGUAAGGUGGUGGAGGAGAGUGGACUGGUGGUGGAGGUGAUUUGUAAUAGUAUGGCGGUGGAGGAGAGUAGACUGGUGGUGGAGGUGAUUUAUAGUAGUAUGGCGGUGGUGGUGAGUGGACAGGUGGUGGAGGUGACUUGUAGUAAUACGGUGGAGGAGAAGAAUAGACCGGUGGUGGUGGAGAUUUAUAAUAGUAAGGUGGUGUCGGAUACUUUAUUGGAGGUGGAGGGGAUUUGUAAUAAUAGGGUGGUGGUGGUGAGGGUGAAGGAGGUGGUGGAGAUUUAUAGUAAUAUGGUGGUGGAGGUGAGUGGACUGGAGGUGGUGGAGAUUUGUAGUAGUAUGGUGGAGGUGAGUAGACAGGUGGGGGAGGAGACUUGUAAUAAUAUGGUGGUGGAGGUGAGUAGACCG